GGGACACGUGGUAUCCUGUCUGAAUAUGGGGGGACCAUCCUCCAAGGCUAAAUACUCCUGACUGACCGAUAGUGAACCAGUACCGUGAGGGAAAGGCGAAAAGAACCCCGGCGAGGGGAGUGAAAAAGAACCUGAAACCGUGUACGUACAAGCAGUGGGAGCCUCUUAAUGGGGUGACUGCGUACCUUUUGUAUAAUGGGUCAGCGACUUAUAUUCUGUAGCAAGGUUAACCGAAUAGGGGAGCCGAAGGGAAACCGAGUCUUAACUGGGCGUUAAGUUGCAGGGUAUAGACCCGAAACCCGGUGAUCUAGCCAUGGGCAGGUUGAAGGUUGGGUAACACUAACUGGAGGACCGAACCGACUAAUGUUGAAAAAUUAGCGGAUGACUUGUGGCUGGGGGUGAAAGGCCAAUCAAACCGGGAGAUAGCUGGUUCUCCCCGAAAGCUAUUUAGGUAGCGCCUCGUGAAUUCAUCUCCGGGGGUAGAGCACUGUUUCGGCAAGGGGGUCAUCCCGACUUACCAACCCGAUGCAAACUGCGAAUACCGGAGAAUGUUAUCACGGGAGACACACGGCGGGUGCUAACGUCCGUCGUGAAGAGGGAAACAACCCAGACCGCCAGCUAAGGUCCCAAAGUCAUGGUUAAGUGGGAAACGAUGUGGGAAGGCCCAGACAGCCAGGAUGUUGGCUUAGAAGCAGCCAUCAUUUAAAGAAAGCGUAAUAGCUCACUGGUCGAGUCGGCCUGCGCGGAAGAUGUAACGGGGCUAAACCAUGCACCGAAGCUGCGGCAGCGACACU
rnacentral:rRNA from 1 species